GUUGGAGAUCCCUCCCUUGUGGAGUUUCUAUUGCAAGCCUAGAUCUUCAGAGACAGUUUCACAGUCUGACUGGGCAGGAGGUUCAUAUGAUGCCCAGGUAGGAUGCUCAUGGCAUGGCUGAGGGCCAGAGCCCUGCUGCUCCGAAGGAGGAAUAACUUCUGCAGCCCAGGAAUGAAUGCUGGAGACCUAACCUUGUUACUGAUGGGGACUCAUCAUCAGUGUCCCCACCAGAAUGUGGCAUCUGAGACAACUGUCCUGUGUGAGCUCUGGGCAUUGUUCUGACUGUUUAGAUUUUGUUUCACCACUUCAGUCCAAAGCUAUGUUUUAUAGAUGGCAUCUGCAGCCACUGGCCUACUGAGGGUCUUGGAUUUGAGGUGGAUGAGCAUCUACUGAUCAGCUCUUAUUGCCAUGGAGCAUCUCUGACUACUGUGGUCAUCUCCAGCAAUUUAGGAUCUAAACAACACACAAAACCUCCCUGACUGAUCUGGAGGCUACCCAGAUUAUUUUGGAUGAUUUCUUCAGGGCUCUGACAGUCAAUGCUUGGCGAUCAGUGUUCUUAGAGCCCAAUCUUUGUACUGGGAGUGUGUCACUGGCAACAAGUCGCCCUUGGUGCUUACAGUAUCCCAACCCACACCUGUAGCUUCACCUGGAGAUGCUGAGAACGGUUGUGUGAAUGGGGAGAAGAGAACACAGCUGCUGGAUCUGACAGAGCAUCACGUGUAGCUUUGGACUGAUGUCAGUAACCCAGAAGUUCUACUGCUGAGCUCAGCCCACAAGCUGAGCCCUGGUGCAGGGAGGAGGGCUGUAUUACCACUAAAGGGGUGUUGGGCUCCCAGCAAGGUCUCAAGAGAGGAUCUCAACUCUCCCACCUGCUGUCUUUGGCUCAGAGGAAAUGCGUGAAGAUCUCCCCAUCUCCUUCUGCAGGGGCUGUGACUGGGGACUUUUGGGGCUUACCCCAGCUGUGGUCUGACCCUACCCAGGCAGCUUUGGUGCUCUCUGCCCCUGUGGUGUUACGUGCUGCAAUGGUAACCCAAGUGGUGCCCACCGGCUGUGGUCAGUGCUGCUCAGAGCAUUGGGGCCAUACUAGUCCUUGCAGGCUGCUGUAAUUCACUUUAAAGCCAUGCUGUAAGGCAGCCCCAUGGGGAUAUUCCCCCUCUCAGGGGCUGUCAGGAGACAGCAAGACAUGUUGGACUCGUUCAUGUGUCACCUUGUUCUGGUACAGACAGCUUUCCCAGU